rnacentral:rRNA from 1 species
AGUGGAUGGGGAGCAACCUAGUUGUGCGUGUGUAAAGGUAGUGCCAAGAAAAGCGAUGAUCAUGUUGAAAAUCAAUUCCCGGUACCCGAAACCGACACAGGUGGGCAAGUAGAGAAUACUAAGGGGCGCGAGGUAACUCUCUCCAAGGAACUCGGCAAAAUGACCCCGUAACUUAGGGAGAAGGGGUGCCACCGAGAGGUGGUCGCAGUGAAGAGGCCCAGGCGACUGUUUAGCAAAAACAUAGGUCUCUGCAAACUCGAAAGAGGAGGUAUAGGGGCUGACGCCUGCCCAGUGCCGGAAGGUUAAAGAAGUUGGUCAGUUUUAGGAUGAAGCUAGCGACUGAAGCCCCGGUGAACGGCGGCCGUAACUAUAACGGUCCUAAGGUAGCGAAAUUCCUUGUCGGGUAAGUUCCGACCCGCACGAAAGGCGUAACGAUCUGGGCGCUGUCUCGGAGAGAGGCUCGGCGAAAUAGGAUUGUCUGUGAAGAUACGGACUACCUGCAUUUGGACAGAAAGACCCUAUGAAGCUUUACUAUAGCUUGGAAUUGUGUUCGGGCUUCCUGUGCGCAGGAUAGGUGGGAGGCGUAGAAGGUAUUCUUGUGGGGAUACUGGAGCCAACGGUGAGAUACACUCUCAGGAGGCUAGAAUUCUAACUUAAUUAAGGACAGUUUCAGGUGGGUAGUUUGACUGGGGCGGUCGCCUCCAAAAAGGUAACGGAGGCGUACAAAGGUUCCCUCAGGCUGGUUGGAAAUCAGUCGAAGAGUGCAAAGGCAGAAGGGAGCUUGACUGCGAGAAGUACAGUUCGAGCAGGGUGGAAACACGGUCUUAGUGAUCCGACGGUGCUGUGUGGAAGGGCCGUCGCUCAACGGAUAGAAGUUACUCUAGGAUAACAGGCUGAUCUCCCCCAAGAGUUCACAUCGACGGGGAGGUUUGGCACCUCGAUGUCGGCUCAUCGCAACCUGGGGCGGAAGUACGUCCCAAGGGUUGGGCUGUUCGCCCAUUAAAGCGGUACGUGAGCUGGGUUCAGAACGUCGUGAGACAGUUCGGUCCAUAUCCGAUGUAGGCGUGAGAAUAUUGAGAGGAGCCUUCCUUAGUACGAGAGGACCGGGAAGGACGCACCGCUGGUGUACCUGUUAUGAUGCCAAUUGUAAACGCAGGGUAGCCAAGUGCGGAGAGGAUAACCGCUGAAAGCAUCUAAGUGGGAUGCCCACCUCAAGAUGAGUAUUCUGGUGUAAGGUCACGGGAAGACGACCCGUAAAUAGGCACGAGGUGGAAGUGCAGAGAUGUAUGAAGCCGAAGUGUACUAAUAGACCGUCGGCUUGACC